rnacentral:rRNA from 1 species
GACGAACGCUGGCGGCGUGCUUAACACAUGCCAGUCGAACGAAAAGAGGGAAAGAGCUUGCUCUUUCCGGAAUUGAGUGGCAAACGGGUGAGUAACACGUAAACAACCUGCCUUCAGGAUGGGGACAACAGACGGAAACGACUGCUAAUACCGAAUAAGUUCCAAGGGCCGCAUGGCCCAUGGAAGAAAAGGUGGCCUCUACCUGUAAGCUAUCGCCUGAAGAGGGGUUUGCGUCUGAUUAGCUGGUUGGAGGGGUAACGGCCCACCAAGGCGACGAUCAGUAGCCGGUCUGAGAGGAUGAACGGCCACACUGGAAUUGAGACACGGUCCAGACUCCUACGGGAGGCAGCAGUGGGGAAUCUUCCGAAAUGGGCGAAAGCCUGACGGAGCAACGCCGCGGGAGUGAUGACGGCCUUCGGGUUGUAAAACUCUGUGAUCCGGGACGAAAAGGCAGAGUGCGAAGAACAAACUGCAUUGACGGUACCGGAAAAGCAAGCCACGGCUAACUACGUG